rnacentral:rRNA from 1 species
GUCUUGUUGAUAAUAAUUUCAAGUCUAACCUGCCCUAUGAAAUUUUUAAAUGGCCGCAGUAUUUUAACUGUGCAAAGGUAGCAUAGUCAUUAGUUUUUUAAUUGAAAGCUUGUAUGAAGGGUUUGAUGAAAAAAUUUCUGUCUCUUUAAAAAUUUAUUAGAAUUUUAUUUUUAAGUGAAAAAGCUUAAAUGUAUAUAGAAGACGAGAAGACCCUAUAGAGUUUUAUAUUUGUAUAUAAAUUUAUAAUUUGGGAUUUUAGUUUAAUUUAUUGAGAAGUAUUUAGUUGGGGUGAUUAAAAAAUUUAAAAAACUUUUUUUUGUAUAAAAACAUUAAUUUAUGAGUUUUUGAUCCUGUAGUAUAGAUUAAAAGAAGAAAUUACCUUAGGGAUAACAGCGUAAUUUUCUUUAGAGUUCUUAUCGAAAAGAAAGAUUGCGACCUCGAUGUUGGAUUAAAAUUUAUUUUUGGUGAAGAAGCUAGAUUUAUUAGGUCUGUUCGACCUUUAAAAUUUUACAUGAUCUGAGUUUAAACCGGUGUGAG